rnacentral:rRNA from 1 species
UGGGGAAUUUUGGACAAUGGGCGAAAGCCUGAUCCAGCAAUGCCGCGUGUGUGAAGAAGGCCUUCGGGUUGUAAAGCACUUUUGUCCGGAAAGAAAUCCUUGGCUCUAAUACAGUCGGGGGAUGACGGUACCGGAAGAAUAAGCACCGGCUAACUACGUGCCAGCAGCCGCGGUAAUACGUAGGGUGCAAGCGUUAAUCGGAAUUACUGGGCGUAAAGCGUGCGCAGGCGGUUUGCUAAGACCGAUGUGAAAUCCCCGGGCUCAACCUGGGAACUGCAUUGGUGACUGGCAGGCUAGAGUAUGGCAGAGGGGGGUAGAAUUCCACGUGUAGCAGUGAAAUGCGUAGAGAUGUGGAGAAUACCGAUGGCGAAGGCAGCCCCUGGGCCAAUACUGACGCUCAUGCACGAAAGCGUGGGGAGCAAAAC